rnacentral:rRNA from 1 species
UUAAUUGAAGAGUUUGAUCAUGGCUCAGAUUGAACGCUGGCGGCAGGCCUAACACAUGCAAGUCGAGCGGUAACAGAUUGAUAGCUUGCUAUCAAUGCUGACGAGCGGCGGACGGGUGAGUAAUGCCUGGGAAUAUACCCUGAUGUGGGGGAUAACUAUUGGAAACGAUAGCUAAUACCGCAUAAUCUCUUGUCUUUUACGAGAUGGGAGCAAAGAGGGGGACCUUCGGGCCUCUCGCGUCAGGAUUAGCCCAGGUGGGAUUAGCUAGUUGGUGGGGUAAUGGCUCACCAAGGCGACGAUCCCUAGCUGGUCUGAGAGGAUGAUCAGCCACAC